rnacentral:rRNA from 1 species
AGUUAAAAAAGGGGGUGUACACGCCAGUGGAUUCGAGCUCGGGACAGCGGUGCGUCUAGAUUACAUGUCUAAGUAUAAAUAACUACACAGUAAAACUGCGAAUGGCUCAUUAAAACAGUUAUAGUUUAUUUGAUACAUUAAAUGGAUAACUGUAGAAAAACUAGAGCUAAUACAUGCCAAAGCCUCACGGUUGUAUUUAUUAGAUAUUCCAAUUAGGUGAAUCAUAAUAACUUCGCAAAUCUCGGUUUUGCCGAGAUAAAUCAUCCAAGUUUCUGCCCUAUCAUGCUUUCGAUGGUAGUGUAUUGGACUACCACGGCUUUCACGGGUAAAUAAGCAAUUUAGGGUUCGAUUCUGGAGAACUGAGCCUGAGAAACGGCUACUACAUCUACCGACAGGCAGCAGGCGCGUAAAUUACCCAAUCCUGACUCAGGAGGUGGUGACAAGAUAUAACAACGCAAUUUCAUUGUGAUUGUAGUGAGGGUAUUCCAAACCGAACCACUAGUACGAUUAGAGGGCAAGUCUGGUGCAGCAGCCGCGGUAUUCAGCUCUAAUAGCGUAUAUUAAAGUUGCUGCAGUAAAAGCUCGUAGUGGAUUCAGGACUGUAAACCCUCGGGAAUCAUCUACUAGCUCGACUGUUCUGGGAAAAAUAAAGGUUCAGCAGCUAUGCAGAUCUACAUGAACGAGAUUGACUGUAUCAGUCGAUAAGAGUGGGCUAUUAUUGCAGGAUGCUAAUUGCAUCGAGUUUAACAAGGACAACGCCUAUCACCAUG